rnacentral:rRNA from 1 species
UGCCAGCAGCCGCGGUAAUACGGAGGGUACAAACGUUAAUCGGAGUUACUGGGCGUAAAGCGCGCGUAGGUGGUUUGUUAAGUGGGAUGUGAAAGCCCACGGCUCAACCGUGGAAUUGCAUUUGAUACUGCAUCGCUAGAGUAUAGGAGAGGGAAGUGGAAUUUCUGGUGUAGGAGUGAAAUCCGUAGAGAUCAGAAGGAACACCGGUGGCGAAGGCGACUUCCUGGACUAUUACUGACACUGAGGAGCGAAAGCGUGGGGAGCAAACAGGAUUAGAUA